rnacentral:lncRNA from 1 species
AUCUCGGCCCUCUCAACCGAGGGCACUGGGCGACUGGGCGGACGGCAGCAGGUCUGAGAACUGGCAGCCUCCCGCCCAGAACCCGGCGGAAGCCAUCAUCGCCGCGCGUGUCAUGGUGCACUACGAAGCACCGCAAGGCACGCCGGCGCAUGACAUGUGGAGUGCAGAGCUGGACGCACUCCUCGCGCUUGCUGCCCAACAACCACAAGGUGAGGGUGGCCCGCCUGGUUCAUGCCGAGGACAGAACCCGGGGCGCGGAGACGCAUCCCGCGCCUCGGGACAGGGAGAGCAUCCUCCACCCUCGGGAGGACAAGACGACGAGGAUCCCGAAGAUUACUCAGACUCGUCACCAACCGUCACGCCAGGUGACACGCGGGGCGUCCUGAACGCUGCCAGCAAGAUCUCUGCCAGCACUUGCAGCAUCGGCGCCGGCACGAGAGAGAGCGCCAGCGUCCAGAAGAGCAGGAAGACGCUCCCAUGGGCGCCGAUGACGGCUGCGCCGCGUUCUCCCGCGAGGUGCGCCGGGUGACAUGGCCCCGCAAGUUCCAAGAGCCAACGCUCGGGACGUACGACGGGACCGUGAAGCCCAAGGAUUUCUCCCUGACCUACACGUUGGGCAUGCAUGCUAUCGGUGCCGACGACAAGGUCAGGGCCAACUGGUUCCCGAUGGUCCUGAAAGGAUCAGCGAGAACCUGGUUGCUCAACCUGCCCGCCGGGUCCAUUGCCUCCUGGGCCGACCUGCGCGAGCAGUUUGUGAACACGUUCCAGGGCUGCUACAAGCGCCCGGGAACCAUGGCGAAGCUGCACACGGUGGUACAGAAGCCGGGGGAGACGUUGCGGGACUUCACCAACAGGUUCUACAACAUCUCCUACUCCAUCCCACAGGCGGAAAUGGCCGCCAUCAUCAACACGUACGCCAUCAACGUCUGCGCCCCGAAGAUGCAUGAGAAGCUGAACACGCACCGGAUCCGGACUACCAGGGAUCUCUACGCUCUCGCGCACAAGUGCGCGAUGGCCGAGGAAGGGUGCCUAGCGCCCGAGCUUGCCGCCAAAACGGCGGCGAACCCACCCGAGGGCUCCGGGAAGAAGGGCUCCCGGAAACACGGCAGGAAGCAAGUGCUUGCCGCGGAACCGGGGACUCCCCAGAGGCCCACCAAGAAGGCGGCGUCGGCAGGAGCAUCGGGUAGCAAGCCAGCGAGCGGCCGCGUGCUGCCCUGCCCACACCAACGCCACCCACGACGCACAGGACUGCCGCACUCUCCAGACCGUCAAGGAGAAGCGCGAGCAGCGCCACGAGGAGCGUCGUGCUGCCAGAGCCUGCUUCAACUGCGGGGACAUCGGGCACCUCUCUCGUGACUGCCCGAACAACCCCCGCAACGGAGCGGCCGUGGCACGGCCAGCAGCCGCGCCAAGGGAGAACCCGCGGGGGGUCGCGGUCAGGGCCGUGGCAGCAAGGACCGGCUUCCCCGGGGACGGGACAAGCCUCGUGCUGAGCAGCGCGAGGACGACUGCAAUGACGACGUCGACGAGCCCAGCUUUCAGGAGCCCCGCGACGUCGCCUGCAUCCACGAGGGAGCAUACACUCUCAUGUCUCACGCCGCCGUGAAGCGGCUCACCCGUGAGGUGUGCGCCCUCCUCCCCAGCAUGGAGGCGCAACAGCCGUUGAGGUGGUCGCACGUGCCGAUCACCUUCAACUCGGACGAUCACCCAAUUCGUCCCUUGGGAUCAGGGGUACUACCCCUCGUGGUAUCACCGAUCAUAAACAAUGUGACGGUGACCAAAGUUCUGGUGGACAACGGGGCAAGCCUUAACCUCCUGUCCGCCAAGUUGAUGAAAAAGCUUCAGCUGCCUUUGGAGCAGAUGAAGCCCACCGACCCGUUCCGGGGGAUCAACCCCGGAGUGGUGCAGCCCAUGGGGCGAAUCACAUCCUGGUGACUUUCAGGUCCCGAGAAGCAUUUUGGACUGAGCACAUUGUCUUCGACAUGGCUCACACCCCGUUGCCCUACAACGGGAUUAUUGAUCGACCGACGCUGAUCAAGUUCAUGGGGGAAACUCAUUGCGCCUAUGACGUGAUGAAGAUGCUAUCAAUGUACGGUGUACUCUCCAUCAAGUGCGACCUGAAGGACGCUGCUUGGUGCGUGGUCAAGGUCGUGAAGACCUCCGCAGUGGCGGAUUCCGGUGACUACGAAGUUGCCGGGAACAAGGAUCCACUUGCGGGCGAGCAGCCCGCACAGAAGAAGGCGCGAGCCCCUCCCGGGCAGGAUGCCGGGGGAGGUACCAGUUCCAACCCGCGCGUCAGCAAGAGUGUGAAGCUGAAGGAGGAGAGUUCCAAGGUCAAGAACGUACCCCUGCAAGCCGGCAACGAGGCGCGCACCGCUUCCAUUGGUGCGAGCCUCGGUGACAAAUAGGAAAGCGCCCUCAUCACCUUCUUUCGGGGAAAUUCUGACGUGUUCACAUGGGAGCCGUCGGACCUUCCUGGAGUCCCCAGGGAGGUGAUCGAGCUUCGGUUGGCGGUGCGGCCAGACACUCGCCCCGUCAAGCAGAAGGUUCGCCGGCAAGGUCUAGAACGCAAGGACUUCAUCCAGCAAGAAGUGGAGAAGCUGAAGAAUGCCGGGGCAAUCAAGGAAGUGUUGUACCUUAUUUGGUUAGCAAAUCCUGUUGUAGUCCCUAAGGAUGGAAAUAAAUUACGCAUGUGCGCAGAUUUUACUGAUCUUAAUCGUACAUGCCCCCAAGGACCCCUUCCCUGUACCCCGUAUUGAUCAAAUAGUAGAUGCCUUCUCCGAUUACCAUCAGAUUAAGAUGGCAGUCGAAGAUGAGGAGAAAACAACGUUUAUCACCCUGGUUGGCUGCUACUGUUAUACAUGCAUGCCUUUCGGGUUGAAGAACGCGGGCUCGACAUUUUAGCGCGCUUUGCGCGAGUGUCUGGGACCCCAGCUAGGUCGUAAUAUUGAGGCCUACAUGGACGAUAUCGUUGUCAAGUCGCGGCGCAGGGACUCGCUCGUUGGCGACCUGCAGGAGACGUUCGACAAUCUCCGCAGAAUCAAGCUCAAGCUAAACCCCGAGAAAUGCACGUUCGGCAUGGACUCGGGGCACUUGCUGGGCUUCUUGGUAUCUCACCGGGGAAUCGAAGCCAACCCACAGAAGAUCGAGGCGAUCGAGAAGAUGGAGGCCCCCCGCAAGGUCAGAGAUGUCCAGCGCCUCAACGGUUGCGUUGCGGCGAUCGGGCGUUUCAUCUCAUGGUUGGGCGAACGAGCCUUGCCUUUCUUCAAGGUAAUGAAGAAGAAGGGCCCAGUCAACUAGACCCCCGAGGCAGAAGCGGCGAUCCAGGACUUGAAGCAGUACCUGAAAUCGCCGCCAAUCCUCAUCGCCCCAAGCCGGGCGAGCCGUUGCCGCUUUACUUGGCAGUGACAGAUCAGGUAGUGAGCUCCGUGCUCGUUGCUGAGAGGGAAGAGCAAGUCCCGGGGGCUGAGCAGUGGGGCAGGGGGCUCCAGGCGAUCCGGAAGAACCCCCGGCUACCUCCUCUGCCCCGCAAGCGGCUAGUACAGCACCCCGUGUACUUCGCCAGCAUGGUGUUGCACGAUGCCCGGGUACGGUACCCGCAGGUCCAGAAGCUUUUGCUUGGGAUCUUGCUCGCUUCACGGAAGAUGCGCCACUACUUUCAGGCGCACAGCAUCACGGUGGUGUCGGGUUUCUGCCUAGAGUGGGCCCUGACCAACCGUGAAGCCACCGGGAGGGUGGCCGAAUGAAGUAUGGAGCUAGCAGAAUUUGGGCUACGUUUCGCGAAUACCAAGAGCAUCAAGAGCGCCGCUCUCGCCGACUUCGUCGUGGAGUGGAUGUCUACAAGAAUAGAAGAAGAAGAGCCGGAAGCAAGCCUUCUCGGCAAAUUAGAUGAAGGGUACUGGGUCAUGUACUUCGACGGCGCCUUCAACCUGCAGGGUGCCUGUGCCGGAGUGGUGAUCGAGUCAUCCACUGGAGAUAAACUCAACUUUGUGAUACAGCUCGACUUCGCCAACUCCACCAACAACACAGCAGAGUACGAGGGGCUGCUAGCGGGGCUACGUGCGGCGAUCGCCCUCAACAUCAAGCGCAUGGUUGUUCGCGGGGAUUCUCAACUCGUGAUAAAUCAGGUAAAUAAGGACUACGAAUGCCCCCAGAUGGCAGUGUACGUGGAAGAAGUGCGAAAGCUGGAGUCCAAGUUCAAGGGACUUCGGUUUGAGCACGUGAAGCACAAGGACAACUUUGUUGCGGAUGAACUAUCCAAGUGGGCAGCGGAACGCUACAAGGUGCCUCCAGGGGUAUUCGUACAGAGGUAGUCAAAGCCCUAUGUCGAUCCGUAACGGUGCGGCCCCGUUAGCCGCCUCCCCGCCAGCUGCCGGGACGCUCCUGCCGGACGUCAUGGACCCUGCGGGGAACUCUGUGUCAGAAGACAAUGAAGAAAAUAAGUUAGAACAAGAAGUACUUGAGCUUUCGUGUACCUGCUGCCGGGCCGGUGCCCUACAAGCUCGGGUCGGGGACCCUUGUGUCCCCAGCGGCAGCUGCCGCCGCGGUAACAACCGCAUCGGCGGCGUCCUUGUCACCACCGUCCGACGCUGGGCGGGGGUUCUUGACCGGGGCCACUGGCGAAGUGCUGGGCUGCCCCCUCUUCCUCGAGGAGCUGGGAAAUGCAGAAGUAAGCUAGCAGAAUAUGUAAAAUUCAUGAAGACUAAAAUGGUUAAAGCAACGUCAAACUUAUCCCGCCGGGUUGAGCUUGAGCACCCUGUCCGCCAUGAUGGUCCUCGUCCGGGGGGCGCUUCGUACGGGAGGAACUGCUGGAGCCGCCGGGGUAGCCUGGACGGCUAUCGUAGCCGCCCCGCUGCCGGCGAAGGCCACAGUCCCCGCAUCGACGGGAGGCGCCUGAGGCUGCGGGCUGCCCCCCCCCCCCCCCCCCGCCUGCUUGCCCGCUCUGCCGCGGACCGCCUCACCAAGGGGACGUCGUCUUCGUCAUCGUCCCCCUCCGGCGCGACCCCGCCAACUUCUGAGGGAGCAUCGUCGUCGUCGUCUUCAUCGUAGUCUUCUCCGUCGCCCAGCAAGGAAUCGUCGGAGUCCGAGUCCUCCGGCCUGGCGGAGCCCCGGUCCUGGACACCCUCCCCCGACUUGGCAGCCGGCUCCUUGCCGAUGCGAGACCUGGGUUGCAGGAGGGAGAGCGGCGACGAGGGAUCUUCCACGAUCCCCCACUCAUCGCAGAGUGGGAGAUCCCGGGCUCCCAGGUUCGGGAUCCCGGUGUGGAGCGGCUGCGCUCCAAGUGGUGGCAAUCGGAAGGCUUCGUCCUCGCCGGUGAUGCCCUUCACCCAGAAUUGUAUAUCGUCUGGCGAGAGUUCUGUGCGCUACAGCCGUGUCCGGUCGCCCGGCCCGGUGUACAUCCAUGCCGGAUGUGAGCGCCGUUGCAGGGGAGCCACGUGCCUCCCAAUAAAGUGGCGCGCCACGUCCGUGUCCGUGAGCACAGCCUCGCGGAGUGCCUUGAUCUUGGCGCGGAUUGGGUCUAGCUCGUCGUCCUUCUGGUCGCGGAGUGUCCAGUCAUCGGAGCCCUUUGGGGGUCCAAGGGGGUCCUCGUAGAAAUCCUAGAGCUCGUUGGUGCGCACCCAGCACCAGUCGUGGCGCCCCUCGCUCUCAAUCUUCCUCUUCCCCGGCUGGAUGAACUACAACUUUAGCUUGUCGCGCAACCAGAACACUACUUCCGAGGACAGGAGAGCUUUCGCCUCCACCCUUGGGUAGUAGUAGUGGCAAAACAGAGCCACCGACGGCAUCACCCCCACGAAUGUUUCACAGAGGUGUUGGAAGACAGCCAAUGUGAAGAAUGACGUGGGGUGAAUUUGGGCCAUGAUGAGCCCAUAUGACUCCAUGAUGGCAGAAAGAAAGAAAGAAUGCGGCGGCACGAACCCGGCUAGGAUGAACCUCCUGAAAAUCCGGAAGUACUGCCGGUCGCGCUCUGCGCCGACGGGGAGAACUCGCGUCGACCCGUACUCAUUGUGCUUGGUGGCGAGCGCCAAGACCAGCUUCUCCACCCCCUCGCCGUUGUACGCAGGGGAGAAGAAGGCGAACUUGGCCCGCAUCUCUUCAUCCUUCCUUGCUCGCUCCAACAGCUCCUUCUUGCUGGCCUUCUCGCGCUUCUCUCCUUUCCUGGUGCUCCCCUUGGGUCGACUCUGGCCCUUGGAAGACAUCGGUGGGAGUGGGGAGUGAGUUUGGCUGGAGUUGGGGCACGGAGAGAAAGGGAGGCAAUGGCGGAAGCAGGAAACAGUGGGGGAUGCCUGCCGUCAGUCUUGGGUAUUUAGCGGGGCUGGCGGGCUGCAACGGACACCCCCACGAUCAGCAAUAAAGUGCCCUAAAGAAUCGGAAAUUAAGAAGGGGGUGCGCGGCAUGGCCUUAACUCUCUAUUGAUUAUGGGGAAUAAGGAAAUAGAUCGUGCGCCCGACCGUUUCGCUCGGAAGAGUGGAACUAGAAAUGCGGCCCACAGGGCCGGUUACCGAGAUACUCCUCCGGGACCCACACGUCGGAUAGGGCACCUCCGGGUGGCCCGAAUCUGGAUAAAUCCAAUUGUCCACACUUCUUGUCUUUCGUCACGCCGGCGAUCGCCGGAGCACUCGCCUCGCCCUCCACAGAACAACAAGGGGGUGUCGAGCAUCCCCGGUGCUGGAGACCCGUGCUCUGACAACCUUCGAGGUGAGGCUAUCAUACUUCAAAGCAUUAGUUCUCUACUUAGUCUAGAUGAAGCCAUGUUUCCUUUUACCACACCAACUUGACCAUAUAUGAAUUCAUCAAUUCCAUUGUGUCAUUUGUUCAAACACUAUCAAAUUAUGAAAACAUUCUGUUUGUCACCUGUUAUGUAAAUCCAAGUGUAUACAAAAGUAUUGUCAGAAGGAACAGCUCUUUUUGCUAGCUAUUUAUUGGGACUAAAACAAUUAGCCUAAACCAAAUUAGUAUACGUGCAGGCUUUCAUUCUUUAUUACAUUAGAACCAAACAAAGUUUUACAGUCAGAUAAUAGGAACUAGAAAGUAAAACAGAAAUGAUAAUAUGUCAAUUUAUCCACUUGCACACUUCAAAAAAUUGAAACUUACUCCCAAAACAACAAUGCAGUUAGAUUGUGUGGACAGAGCAUUACAACAACUGCUAGGGAGCCCAUGUGUAGCUACAUGAAAAUUUGAUGUCACCUUCUUCCUGAAUACAAGGGCACACCUCUGGCUUUGUGUUGUCAGAAGUGGCAAAUCCAGUCCUAUACAUUCAUAUGUAUGUUUAUUAUUAUCUACAAUACACGUACACAGUUCAGAUAUGUCCUGUAAUUUUGUCCCGCGAACACUGCUGGAGAUAGACCAUAACCGGUUGUUUUGGUCCAGCUCGGCUGAAGCGGGUAAAGUAAUGCUCCAAGAUAUAUCUGAAGGGUCAACGUCAACCCCGCCGGGUUUUGUUGGAGUAUGUAGAUGGCAUGUCGUGCAUUUCCGAGUAUUCAUAUACCAGUGUCUUGCCAAGGAACCGCGAGUGCUAUUACAACUGUGGACAUGAGGACAUUUCUUUGUUUCAAGCAUGUUACGAAUGUUUUACAACAUUAGCCAUGUAAAAAUUAUGCACCUGAGAUACAUUGUACCCCAUCAACAAGUAAGCAGGUAUAUCUUACAAUUUCCCACACCAGAUUGUAUGUACGGCAAUCUUUAAGAUGGACGAUUGCUCUGUUACUGCCAAUCCCCGGUUGGACAUAACCAAAACAUGCGAAUUAAUCAUCAUUUUGUUCCUUUAGUUGAUAAUUCAUUAUCAAUGCUAAACAAAACAGUUUUGUAACUCUGCAAGCUCUGUAGCAUUCAAAUCAGCUCAAAAUUUAAGCUAUGUGCCUGAGGCAUGGAAUAGGCAAUAGGCAUUAAGCUUUACUGAGCUCAGAACACUCCUCAGCAUCUCCUUAUUUUAUGCAACCAUAUGACAGGCCAAUACUAAAACAUAUAAUGCGUAAGGUGUGACAUCUCAAAGGACAGAGAAGUCCUCAAAUCCUGGGACUGGGAUCAGGUGCCUUGCCAGAGCCAGGGCACGGCUUGCCUUGCCCCCCUUUAUCCACCGUCCAUCUAUAUCGGACGGCCAGCACCGAAUUCAACCGUUUCAUCUUCUUACUCCUUAGUCUUCCUCUCGAGCAUAGACAGGUCGUUCCUCUCGGGGGAAAUCCUCCGCCCCAAUCCGACGGGCUGCUCCCUCAUCUCCCCAUCCCCUUUUUGUAUUCCUUCUGUGCUCGUAAUCUGGACUCUGGAGAUGGUGGCUGCUGCAAGCUCCUUCUUCGAUCGGGAGGACAGUGCAGGGGCGCAGCGCGACAUGGUGAGCGCCGGGCGGGUUACCGGAGACGGCGUGGUUCUCUGCGCGCUGCGUAUGGCUUCUGCAUUGCUCACAAAAAGCGAGCACACGAAGGGAGGCUCUCUUUUCUUUUUUUACGGAAAGCUUUAGGCCAUAAGGCCUAUUGCAUAUAUUAAAAUAAAAUGUUAUUUACAAGAAUAGAAGAAAAAAGUUAUCUAAAUCUCUCAAUCCAGACUUAAAGCCUCUCGUAUUUUUUUCUUUUGGCUCUAUGUAAGACUAGAUUAAGAUCUUUCUUGAAAGUUCUUCUGCAUCUAUAUAAUGAUGGGGUAAUUCCAUUAAAGAUGAAGUCGUUUCUAGCUUUCCAUAACCAGAGUAGUGAUCUCCAUGUGGAAUGGGACAUUCAACUCCUGUUUGAUAGAACAAAGAUUCUCAUGCACAUUGUCCCUUGGAGUGAAAUCUGGACAGAUGUAUCUCCAGCAUGAACGAGCGAAUUGACAGUGAAAAAGAUAUGAUCCCUUGUUUUCAUGUGGGAUUGAUUGCAAAGAACACAAAUGUAGUUUGGGAGGAAGAAUUGCAUCUUGAGUAACAAUCCCCUGGUAUUCAGCCUAUCAAUCACUGGAAGCCACGUGAACACCUUGUGUUUGAGUUGAUUGCAGGAUGUCCAGAUCCACUAGAAGCCACGUGAACCUGCUGCCCUUCUUAUUAUUCCCUAUUGGCGGCGGCGGCUGACAUCGACGGUCAUGCGCGCCUGAGAUCGAUCAAUCCUACCUUCAUGAAAAGGCAGCGACACGAGCUCGUCAACGGCCAACGGUGAUGUGUCGGGGACUGCACCUGACAAGAGCACCAGAGCAAGUUGUUUACCCCCAAAGAUUCCCCUGCCUGUGCUUGUUUCCUGACCGCAGGGGGCUGUGAAUUGAUGCUGGUCGUCGGAUUUAAAUGAACGAUGGAUACAUGGGCCACCGGAUCCCAGUCCCAAAUCCUGCCAUGCUUGAUGCAACUAAGUAUACAUAUGCCAUAUUUGAAAAGUACACAUGGACUACAUAGAAGGAUUCCAAGUGCAGUACUAACAACAUCCAUACUAUGGGACCUGAAAAAAAGUGGUAUUAAUUGUUGAACCAAUGUAUUAAAUAGUAAUAUGUAUAUCUCAUCCAAUAAAUAAUAAUAUCAACGCUCAUGUCUUUCCUAUGAUUCAGUUUCUCAAUCUUGAUACAUGGAUGCAGAUAAAGGCAACCCUUUUUUCUUUACAAAUUGUAAACAGAUGGAGAACUUCAUCUGAAAAAUAAUGUCUCAAUUAAACAUUAUUUGGCAACAAGGUUUUGUAAAAUCAGAAUUCCAACUAAUUUUACCAUGUUGAAAUCGAGGUUCAUACUAUUCCAAGUAAUCCGAAAGAAUAAUAUAUGUUCUGGCGAUAAAUUAAAGAGGAAAUUGCACGGGUUCCAUCAACUUGGCACGAAUGUUCACUUUAGUCCACUAACUUGUUAAUCGAUUAUUGUUAGCCCUAAACUUGAAUUUGUGUGCACCGUUAGUCCAUAAUCAAGCGUUAAAUGGCCAAGUGGCGCGUGAUGUGGCAUGGGGAGAGUUCAUACGUUCAUGUGGUUGCUUAACAAACACAAGCUACUAAGUAGAGAUAACUUGGAGAAAAGACAUAAAAUACAGGACAAAACUUGUGUCAUAUGUAACGAAAAUGAAUCUAUUUUGCAUUUCUUUUUUGACUAGUGGAAAUGCCCAUGCGUUGUCACGGCCCACGCACACGGUGGUCAGGAUGUUGCUUUCACGUUUGUUGAAUCCAUAUGUUUACUUGGAUAAUAAACACCUAAAUUCUCUGACCUCAACUUUGACCGCAACCGCCGUAUCGUAGGGUUGGCAAAGGACCGUCCGUGUGCCAUGAUGUCGAGCUGCACUACGCUGCUUCGGCCUAGAGGCACGAUGGUUGUCAUGAUCAUUUUGAAAGGUGAUUGUGUGCAUCACGUUGCUAAAUUCCGAUGAUUGCUUAGGAGGGCUCUCGUCGUUCCUUUUGUGUUGGCGGCGCCACCGUUUGUCUCUCUUCCAACAUCCCCCAGUCGCGCAUCUCCGUUCUUUGUCGCCCUUUUUAACUUGUUUAUUUGGUUUUGUCAUAUGCUUAUAUUUAAGUCGUCUAACUUUUGAUUAGAGAUAAGUUGAUUCCUCAGCAUUUUUAUAUGGUUUGUGCUCUAAGAUUUGACACGGACGAUUUAAAUUCGUUAGCUUAUAUUUAAGUUUUUUUUCCUUAAAGUAAAAAUUAGACAACUAAGAGUAUAUACUUAUAUGGCCACACCCUUAAUCAUUGUAGCCAAUGGUACUUGUCCACGGUCAAGGGCAAGUAGCUUCUUUUGUAUUCAUUAAAUUUAAAUCCUAGAAAUUUAAAAUUUAAAAUAUAUUAACACCGCAUCCAGUCUUUUUUACCUGAUUCAUGCAUAUCUAUCUAUCUCACUCUCUGAUCAUGUACUCCAGUCCAGUCUCCCCCGACCAUGCAUCCCGAUCCCCGCCGUCACUCCAGUCACCCCCGACCAUGCAUCCCCGCCGGCUAUGUCCAGUCGCGUGGGAGCUCUCCCCGCUUCGUCGGCUCCAGAUCUGGCGCCGUCGCCCAUCCCCUACACCAGCGCGCCGCCCCAUCCCCUGCUCCGGUGCCUCCCCGUCUCAUGAUUUGGCGUGCGGCCUGUUCGCCAUGCUCCAGCGCCACACACGGAGAUGGCCUCGCACCGCGUGAGGUCUAGCGCCUCCGGUCCUUCCAGUUCCUACGAUGUCACCUCCGGCGGCCGGGAUCUGUCACGGAACAAUAAAAUAAAAUGAUACACUCAAAACACAUGCAUCAAAACUUCCUCUUUUUGUCCUUCUAAAAUAAUAGCACAUAUAUAUCAGAAAUAGGUGUUUAUUCAUGGAAAAUGAAGUAUGAUCAUCCGAAAUAGGAGUAUGUACCGAACUGAAAGCGAUUUGUGCUGUUAUUAGCAAGUCAGCAGAGUACCAGCAGUAAAAAGGGAGUGCAAUUAUGCAGCAUCAUUUCAGAUUCUUUCGCAAAAAAAAACACAUCAUUUCAGAUUAAAUAUGAAGGACCACAUCUGCACCUGUGGGAUGGUAGUAAUAUGAUAGCGAGAAAGACAGUCAAAAUGCACGGAAAGCUUAAGUAGUAACUGAGAAUCAAACAGAAGAACCUGUAGCACUAUAGUAUAGUAUAUCACUUUAUUGUGGGAUGUGUAAUUUGUACAACGAAGCUAAAUCAAGAGAAAUGAGAAGAGAUGCAGCACCAUCACCUAGUAUGUGCCACUGAGGUACAAUUCAAUUGUUAGGUGAAUCAGAUCUCGGACCAGGCCCCGUCAAAAAUGAAGGAUCUUGGUCCAGCAGAAACAUAAGUGAACCAGGAAGAAAUCUCCACUAUUGAAUCAAGACAGCUGAUGUAUUCUGUAUUAGACAAAGCUGAAACCUGGGUAGCUUGUUUUCACAGGUGCUUAAUCAAAGUUGUUUUCCCUGUAGAAUAUUGACCAAAAAACAUAACCAUUGGUUUUGCAUCGAAGUCAUUGUUCGUCUGGAAAAUGGCAGAAUAAACAGAAUGACAUGUAAGUACUCUUUGCAACAUAAUUGAUCAUAUUUUUUUUUUCACUGCAAAUCUUAUCAAGAAUAUUUUUCCUCAAAAAAAAACAAUAAUAAGCUUCUAUAAAAACAAUCUCAGGCUCCAAAUGAUAGACAUCCUUUUCAUGAAUCCUAAACAUUUCUAAGCUAGAAACAAUGCGCUGAUUAUUUCUAGACUGAUAAAAAAUCUUAACCUGUCAUGAAAUGAGCGAGAGAAACCAGGACUAACCUCCUGCCAGAAACAGCGACCAAGCUUGACAUUAAGCUCUGUGCACUCUCCAAAAAACUUCUUGAAAGGGUUAUCCACACUUGUCAAGUUGAUCGAGAAAUAGAAUAACAAGUCCCCCUCUAGGAAUUAGCGAGCAGUUAACGAGUAUCCGGAAACAGCCACAAUCCACCAUAUUAUUGACUUGCAUCCUUUUUUCUUAACCAAUUUUUUGCCUAACAUAAGGUCAUCUACAAGAGAAUCAAAAUAGUUUCCCCUAGAAACUAACAUAAUUCUCCCUCAUCCUCCAACAAAGCUGAGUCUGCAUAAUCUAGAGCAGGGACAACCUACAGGGCCUGAUCUUAUGAACAAAGCAGGCUUGAAAAUAUUUCUAGUAGGAACAGAUUGGCACAUUUCCAAGACACAAAGCACAGCUAGCCCUUUUAUUUUAAACUUAAGUCCUUAACUGAAGCCAAGCAAAGAAGCUUGCACUGUUGCACAUACAUAUAGGUUGAUCGAAUAGCUAAACCUUAUAAUUAAAACACAAGCCCAAAAGUUUAGAGCCUUUUGGGUUGACCUAUCCAAAUGGCACAUUUGGAACUCUUCAAUAAUUUAGAAGUCCAGUGCAUUGCUCCAAUGUUGUAGCACUCUUGAGGGUUUAUAGAGUAUAUGUACUCUAAGCUCCUUUUGCAAUAUCUUUGAUUUCGAAGGUCAUAUUUUGUGGUAACUGGCAUAAUCUACCAAGUUCGACGUUUUGGCAUCCAAAUUGCAAUACCGUGGCUCCAAUUUGUACAAGUUCCAAUUAUCCUGAACCAAAAGAGAAGCAAUGAACAUUGGAGAGAAGAGAUGGAUACUCUGCACUACAAAAAGUUCACCCGCUGCAGCUGCCAUUACCAGGUGCCCACCAUGGCCGCCAAACUUUCUGAACAAAGGUUCUCCCGCUGCAUUACUUCUCUUCUCAACCAAACGUGCUCAAAUCGAGACACUAAAAAGCACAUAACGCUCGCUGAUGAAGAGGGAGAAAUCGAGCCACGUCUCACGUCGCGUGGAGAUGUGCCUGACGAACACCAACACCUCCCCGGUCACGCUGGGGAUGGCAUCUCCUUCGUCCGCCUCCUCCUCCCAGCAUCGAGAUGCCGCUCCUCACCCUCUGACCUAUCUCCGCCAGAUCACUCUGAUCCCCGCGGAUCCUCUUCCUCAUUUGCGUCCCCGUCGGUACCCUCCGCCUCUGCAGCGGUGAGCGGGGAGAAGGACUCCGGCAGGGGCGGUGGGGCGAGGAAGGACGCCACGUCCACUUCUUUCGCCAGGGGAACGACCCAUCGACGGCGGGGGUGCGGCGGCUGUCCCGCAGCGAGAGGUGGUGGCAGCUCGUGGGCGACGGCGUCUCGCGUGUUCGGAGGGAGGCGGCGGUUCGUGCGCUCGAGGGAGGAGGGAAGAAGGAUCUGGCUGUCAUUUUGCAGAGACCUGCUGUGGUCUCAUUUGAAUAUUUAGCUACACUGUGGUUGAGUGAAAAAAAAGAAUGUUGUUAUUAAUAUGAUAGCUUCUUCCAUGUUAUGGAAUAUCUGGAAAUUCAGAAAUGAUAUGGUAUUUUCUCUAUUGAAUUGGUCUUUAAUCUAGGUGCCCUGGCAGCCUGUUGCGGUUGUUAAAGCGCCGGCAACCACUGUGCAUCCAGAAGAAAAUUUAGAGGUCGGAAAGGCUGUUGGCAUGCCUGUAGGCCAAAGUGGUGGAGGCUCCCCAAAUCAAACGUCGCACCUCACAGGCGAUGGCUCCAAGAACACCCCGGGCCUUGGAGAUAAAAGUCCCUUUGCGCCUAUUUGUCAAUUGAGAAAAAUAUGAAGAGGGGGUGAAAACAGUCAGUUGCAUAUGGUUUGGCACUGUAACAGGAUAAACAAACUUUUGGUUUUCAAUUACUCGGUUGACCCUGUUAGGGGUAUGUAAUACCGAAUCUGGAUAUUGUUUCGUUCCAUAUGAAAUGGAACAGGGCGAGGAGCCUAUAUUUCUCUGAAAAUAAAUCCCCAGGACACGUAGGCGGGUUUAUUAGCUGAAAGAAACUACCUUGGUUGGUCGGCACGUGGGCUCCAAAUGAACCGUUGCGAUCGACUGGACGCGUGAUCGGACGAGCAAGAUACUCAAAUCGCUGAGGAGCCAGAAGUUACUUAUCCCUUCCUCGUCGCCUGCCCUGCCCUGCUCCCGCCACACAAAAAAUAUCCACCACGCGGAGCGAAACCUUUGCCCUCUCGCCUCGUCGCCGAACGCUAUGGCCUCCGAUGCGAGGCUCUCGCUGCCACGACGCCUCCCCUCACUCCUCCUUCGUCCAAUGCUCCGGGCGCCCUGCGCCUCCGCGUCCACCUCGCCGAGGUGCCGCAUCUUAACGGGGGUGCGACCGUCGACGCCCGCACCGAGCCGUGGCGGGAGUCGGCUGCGGCCUCGCGCCGCGGAGGCCGAGCGGCAGGGUCGGAUGCAGCGAGAAGACGAUGUGGUCGACAGCAACGUACUACCCUACUGCAACCUCGACCGGAAGGAGAAGAAGUCCAUAGGGGAGAUGGAGCAGGAGUUCCUCCAGGCGCUGCAGGCACGUUCGUGCUUCUUCUAUGUCACCGCUUGUUCUUUUCUACGUACUGUACCAAGUAUCAAUGUUUCGUGCAUCUCUACAAACGCUAAUGGUGGACGACCAUCAGUUGCGGAAACUUUACAAUUUGAACUAGUUAUUUACACAUCUUUACUUACUGGUUAAUCGGUUCAUAUUGUUCUUGCUAUUUAGUCGUUCUACUAUGACAAGAAGGCAAUCAUGUCGAAUGAGGAGUUUGAUAACCUUAAGGAAGAACUUAUGUGGGAAGGAAGCAGUGUUGUUAUGCUAAGUAAGGAAUUCCCGUUUGGUUUUUCUUACUUUGAUUUGAUUUUGCUGUCAUGGUUGAUACAAAUUUUCCAUUGUUCUUGUGUUAGGCCCGGAUGAGCAAAGGCUUUUGGAAGCCUCCAUGGCUUAUGUGGCUGGCAAACCCAUUAUGACAGAUAUCGAAUUUGAUGAACUAAAGCUCAGAUUGAAGGUCGGUUCUUAUUCUCUAGAAUAUUAUGUAUGUGUAGCUUGGCAACAAAAAAACGCACAUUCAUGGAACUAAAUAAGAUUCAGCCAAGUUUGGCCCACCCUUGUGUCUAAGACCAGAAACUUACUCUGAAAUAGCUUAAGAAGCAGCAAAAGCAAGAAUUGUAGCAUGAGACGCUUUGUGUUGCUACUUUGUUGCAUUAUACCUAGAUAUAAGCUAUCAGGCUUAGCAUAUGGGCUGUAGGCUACACUAAGUACUCCCUCCGAUCCAUAUUAAUUGUUGCAAUAUUACAUGUAUCUAGACGUUUUUUAGGCAUAGAUACAUCCAUAUUUGGGCAAAUUUGAGACAAUUAAUAUGGAUCGGAGGGAGUAGUUUAAUUAUUGUGACAUUUAGAUGUUAGCUUCAGUUCAUAUACUCAUAUGAGAAAUUUACAUUUGAAGCACACACACACACACACACACACACACACAUAUAUAUAUAUAUAUAUGCUUCAUCCUGCAUGCUUGCUUUAAUGGAUGAUACACCCGCUUCGGUGUAUUCUAGAAAAAAAAUCCUGCAUGCUUGCUUAGUUUUUCUUGAUAUUUGCCUUGCCUAGAAAGAAGGAAGUGAAAUCGUACAGGAAGGUCCAAGAUGCAGCUUACGGAGUCGAAAGGUAGGUAUUGACUUAUUGAUUUCUACUUUACUAGUCCCCUCAUUAGGAAUUCCAUGUAUUCUCUAGUUCCAAACAUGUAUAAUCUAUUUGAAAUGUUAAAGAAUAGACUCUUGCAGUUUGUUUUCUUUGCUGCUCAUGGUUGACUGGUAGGAUAUUUAAGGUUAUACUAGCAAUUAUUAGUUAUUUUUCUUUUAUGACAUUGAUAAUCUAGAAAGAAAAGCAUUCUUAUAUCUAUAUCAUUUAAUAAAGCUGUAUAUAUUUCAUAUGUAGUGAGGGUUGUUUGCCAAAUUUACAGAAUCUUCUUGCCAAUGUUUCCUUGGGUUGGGUUUGACAUCAAGAUUAUGUGUGCUGAAACUCAACCUCACACUCACGAAUUAUGCAAUUUUGCGCAGGUCUACAGUGACUUGACUGUUGACUACUUCAAGAUGUUCCUGCUAAAUGUUCCGGCGGCUGUUGUAGCUCUUACAUUGUGAGUGUUGAUAUGAAAUGGAAAAUCUAGCUGCAUGGCAUUCAGCAUGUGGUCUUCUCUGUUGACCGCUCUCCACGCAUUAGAUGUCACCGGAUUUCUCCUUUUUUCUCGUUUCAUCGAAGCAGUGAAACAGAUCGGACCACAAGCUAAGCUGCGAAAGUGAUAGGCAUGCAGACCAAAACCACAUGGGCCGCACUAGCAAAUAUUGGCACCAGCACAUCAACUGUGUUUACCACGACAACAGAGGUCGUGGUUAUGAUUCAAUCUGAUCCCAGAAUAUGUAGUCAGUUGCGUUAAAUUAUUAGCCUAUACCCCUGUGUGAGGUGUGUAUUAGCUCCCUGGUGCACCUAGACCGGGAAAACAAUAAAAUAAAAUAACUAAAAUCUGUAUAAAAUAACUGAUGUUUUGUGUAUACAUGUUUGAGUCCUUGACAUGCCUGUUAAGUUUCAUGUUAAAAGCACCAAUUUGUGUCCUGGACCAAAAAUAAAUUCACUGCUUCAAAAGGAGAACUUCUUCAGUACUAAAUUUGCCUCUCUUUUUUCACAGGGCAUAAAAAUUAUUGUCUUUGAAUGAGAACUACACGAACCUAGAUGACAUACACAAAAUUCUUUUUCAUCUGGGAACAUGUUCUCCUGGAUGCACCAUCGAAUUUCCCAUACCCUGGCUUGUCCGAAGCCCGUACCUUUUCUCAACCCUCUGAAUGGCCAUGAUUGUGCUUAACCUUUCAAUUCCAUGUGACAUGAUGCCAUUUUCUCUGGUAAACAGUUAUCUGUAUGCGCAGACAUGAGUGAAUAACAUAAUAGCUCCAAAGUUUGAUGUUUAUUGACUUGUCAAUACAAAAAUAUCAUGUCUUUGCUCAAGUAGGAGAAAAACACGAGACCCAAACGAAAGUUCAUAGCCACAAGAACUGAUUGCAAAAAAGUAUACCAAAAUAUAUUGAAGUGGGGUGUUGUAUUAAAAUUCUUGUCAGAAAAGAUUGCAAAACAAGCUCUCAUAAACCAAAGGAUAAAUACUUAUUGAAUUUCCUUUAUCCAUGGAUUCCAUACAUAAUGUCUUGCACUUUGAAUAUCCAUCUUGCAUGUAGCCAUGCCACAACCAGCCAAUAUCCCAUGUGAGCCGAGUCAACAUUAAUUUUAUUUUUGUUGUACUUCGUAUAAUCCUGCGGGUAUCAAUGGAAGGAAGAUAGAGGGGAAGCACUGGCUCAUUCUGAUGACGUGAGGUGAGCGCAACAAGCGCUAGCAUUUGUGUCGAGAAGUUCGCUGGUUAUGACUAAUAGUUGCGUACUAUAUGAAAAUGGUUAUAUGACAUGACAUCAAAGAGAUUUGUUUGGAUUCUUUCUGAAUUUACAGGGUUGCAUUAAACUAAAUGGAAAAAUGUUAUUGUUCUCGGCUGCUCAGUUACCGUCACUAACUAAUUUUGGAAUGUGUAAUCUACAUUUCUUUCCAGAUUCUUCUUCCUCGAUGAUUUUACAGGCUUUGAGAUUACAUAUCUUCUUGAGGUUAGUGUUCAUUGAACCACCAACAAGCUAAUGUGAGAUUCAGAAAAUUUCUAGGGCAUGUUCAGUUUUGAGAAAUAUAUCGUACACCAGAAAUAUGAGUAACAAAAGAAGGAUAGUGGAACCUUAUGUUUUUUGUCUUAUACUCCCUCUUUUUUACUAUAUCUUUACUUCUUAUAAAGAUCUAAGUUGGUGGUCGUCCGUUCACUCCAUUGAGGCUAUUAUCUAUAUUGUUAUGAAUUAAAUGUAAUUGAACCCAUUCCAUAUGGUACAUGUAUGUAUCAAUGUAAUUGAACCCAUUCAAUGUUCUUUUGACUACAAUUGACUGGAUUGAUGUAAUAUAUUGAAAUAAAUAUUAUUCAGCGCAAAAUUUAGGAAUAUAAGGAUAAAAGCGCAUUUAAACAACUUAUGAAUUAAUUCCUUAGCAAAGCAUGUGCAUAUAGCUAGUCUUUGCACAACCCACAAUGUGCCGAACCAUGGAAGCACAAAAUUUAAAAGACUAAUGAAAAAUGUGACAUAUUACAAAGUUACAACCACCUACCCUCUUUCUAUGCAUUUAAGUAAGGGUUGAUAUGAAUAUAUAUAGUAAUAACUCAACUCCUAGUUUCUUCAAUGGAACAUACUUUGAAAGGGAUUCUACCGUGGCCAAGGACAUAUAUGGUGAAACUUAUGGAGCAUAUGAAACGGAAUAAGGGUAAUUUAUGAAAUACCAGAACAACUUAGCUAAAAAUGGUGGAACAAUUUUCUAUUGUAUACAUAACUUACCUCUUAUAGCAUCAUAAGGAGUAGUACCUGACGUAUUAUUCCACUUCAUUUUAAUCAAUUAUUAUUCUUUACAUAAAUGAAUAUAAGUAUCGAGUAAGAUGAAUAGAAACUUCUUCAUGAGUACAUUAGUAUUUGAUAACACCAGGUUUUUUAUACCAAUUUAUUUUCAAAUGAAGUAAUAUUUGCUUUGAAAUACUAUUAUCUUGUGUCCGACAUCUGUUUUGGUGGUGUCUGCUUACAAAGUCCUCUUCAUCUAGACUCAUGUGGCCUUGUCAUUUUUGUAUCAUUACUUUUCUAAAGUUCAUUCAGAUUCUGUACUGAGACUGAAUGCAAUACACAGAGUUUACAAUAUACUAAGUCAAAAUUUUGAAUCUGCAGUUGCCAGAACCUUUCAGUUUUAUCUUCACGUGGUUUGCUGCCCUGCCUCUGAUAUUUUGGGUAGCACAAGCAAUUACUAAUGCCAUAGUGAAAGACUUCCUAAUUUUGAAGGUACUUUCUUUUUCGUGUCUGUCAUGUGUUAAGGAUUGUUACCUAGAGUGCAGACUGAUGAAUCUUCUGAUAUUCAGGGACCAUGUCCAAAUUGUGGCAAUGAAAAUCUUUCAUUCUUUGGGACUAUUCUGUCAGUGCCUAGUGGUGGUGCCAAAAAUAGUGUGAAAUGCGCAAAGUAUGCAUCGGAUUAUUGUUAAAACUUGAUGUUAGUUCCAUAUGCUUUUAAGCCUAUAUUCUUAGUGUGUCUGAUGUUUCUCUUUAUUAGUUGUGGUACUGCAUUGGUAUACGACUCUGGAUCCCGGUUGAUUACAUUGCCAGAGGCAUGACUGAAGGCGACUCGGGUGAAUCACUUAUCACCUAUUGUACAGGUUCGGAAGCUGACAUAUAAUAGUUACCUGAUCAUUUUAAAAGCAAUGUUAUUACAAAGCCCUGUUUAACUUAUUUGUAGAUCUGCUACACUAGGGCAAGUGCAUUCUGGUCACGCACAAGGGUGACGGGGUGGCAAAACUAGCCCUGUUUUCCUUUCAUGCUCGACACGGCGCUUACCACAUAGUGGUGUUGUUCGGCUAGUUGCUCCGUACUGUGGAAUUUCAAUAAAACAAUCAUUAAAGAAAUGUGCUAUGGCGUGUACAUGAUAGUUAUGGAUACUUCUGCUGUAGGAAUAUGAAAAGUUGAGAAUCAUAAUGUACCUUCUAUAAUGUACCUUCUAUAAAUACUACUACCUCUGUUCUUAACUAUAAGACGUUCUAUCUUUACGUUAAAUGUCAAACUUCUAAGUUGACAAAAUUCAUAUAAAAACGCUCUAAUAUUUACAAUAUUAAAUAGAUAUACUAUUAAGACAUAUAUCAUGUAAGAUUUAAUAAAACUAAUUUGGAGAAGUUGUAGGCGCUGGUAAAUUUACCUAUAAAUUUGGUCAAACUUUAGAAGUUUUACUUAGAACAAAAUUAGAAUAUCUUAGAUGUUGCUAGAUUUUUUUUAUAAUUUUGAUCAAACUUUAAGAAGUUUUUACUUAGUACAAAAUUGGAACAUCAUAUAUUCAGGAAUGGAGGGAAUAGUAAGACAGCAGAUACGACCAUGGGAGUUGCUUUCGUCCUGUUAAUAAAAAUGUAGGGUCAUCUGUUACUGUUUGGAACUCGUGAGUAUGAACAUGCUAUCCACAUUCGUUGUUAAUUUUCAGAAUAUAUCUAAUUAAGGCGAUUGAAUUUAUUGUCUUGAGUCAUCCGUUAGAUUUCGGAGUAUCAAUUUCUCCCUGGAUGAUUUGAACAUUUGUAACAUAAAAAGAUGUUGUCUUCACAUUCGCUUUCUCAGGCGCCAGUUGUGUCUUAUCGGGAGUGGUGAAAGGCCUGCAUUCGUUGGACCAAUCUUUUUAAAGAGAAAUUUAUAUUUACCUUGGUAUAUACUCCCUCCAUUCCAUAAUACAAUGCACGCACACAUUUUGAGAUUUUGCAUUGACCAUCAAUUAGACCAACAAAAUGUGAAUUAUGCAUUAUAAAAAUAAUAGCAUUGGAAACAUCUUUCAGAUAUGAAUCCGGUGGUAUAAGUUUUAUAACUUAUAAUUCAUAUUUUGUUGGUGUAAUUGAUGGUCAAAGUUAGACCUCGAAAAGUGUGGGCACAUUAUAUUUUGGAACGGAGGGAAUAGCCCAUUAGAUCUCAAGUUCGAUGGCCUAUGUUUGUCGUUUGGGCUUCGUUUACUUUGGUCUCCACGAGCGAGGUGACAAUCAUGGUUGGAAAACAAAAACUCGUAACUCUUACUCCUUUACUAAAACGACGACAAGAAUUUAUAAUCGGAGGGAGCAGUAGAGCUGUAUCACUCUCAAAAAAAAGUAGAGUUGUAUCAUGCAAGUUUUUGUAAUUCUGCAUUAAAUCGAGUAUGUAUUCAUAUAAAAUUUCUCAAUAAUGAAUGUGUAUUUCAAAAAUAAAAAAGUACAAUAUAUGCCCUUUAGUUGUAAUAUAUUAUCUAAAUAAAUGAUUAUUUUUAUUAUUCGUACAACCAAAUGAAUUCUUCAUGCUAAGUAACAAGCUUAACGAGCCAACUUAUUAAGUUAUCAAGCCGAGCCAAGCUAGGGUUUUGAAGUAUUUAACGGCACAAGAUGUGUUAGAUUUGAUAUCAAAUAACACAAGACAAUUAUCGACCCUCAAAAAAGGAAAAAGCGUUAACGGAGUUUAGCGGCUUUUUCGGUUUGAUUGAGUCGUAAGACAUCUGUAUUGUUAAGAGGGAGUCCACAAACAAAAGUAAUCACCACUAGAGAAUUUACUAUUACAAGUUCACCACUGACGCAAAAUUAAAAAGCGUCACAACCAAUCCCUAUCAUGACGUUCCUUAUAAAGAGUGUCCUUGAAAUUUACUGACACUUCGCUCAUAGAAAGCGCCAGAUAGGAGAAGCUAAUUACUCUAACGCCUAGCUAUGCAAACACCAUGAAAAAAGCCACUACUACAGAAUCCUUUAUUUGAGACGCAUCAGAAAACCUCACACUGAUCAAGUGUUAGAGAUGACCGAGGAAAACCUUUUGACUCUUCUUCCAGGAGGCGUGUCAGGAAUAGUCUUCUCCGAGCCUCAUGGGUCGUAUCGGGGUAUUUUUAAUGACUUUAUUGGACCGUAAAAAGCGUCAGACCUGGUUAUCUUUGACGCCUCCUUCAACAAGAACUAUCGGUGAUGGUUCUUAUGAGAGAAAAAUUAGAGCUGACGUCUUUUUUCUGUCAACGUCAGGUCAACCAUUAUAAUUCUAAUCUAAGUCGCAGGAAAACAUUGAGCCAAUCUGAAUUUUAUUCAUUGCAUACAAGAUGUGUUACAUUUCAUACAAGAUCGACCGCAUUACAUUGCAUACAAGAUCUGCUACAUUGCAUGAAAGAUUUGCUACAUUUCAUAUAAGAUCGACCACAUUAUAUUGCAUUGCACACAAGAUCUGCUACAUUUCAUACAAGGUACACACAUCAGAGCAUUGUCGACAAGAUCAAACAACACACUAAUAUGUCAGCAACAUCAUCCAUGAGAAGCACAACGCCACGCUGAAGA